CUACAGCCAAGUAAGCCAACCAUCCUCCUUGCCCCUGGGGCGCCGGGGCACAGUGGCUGCAGACAGCAGCCUCCUGGGUCGUGGACGCAGCCUGUUGCUCGGCGGGUUGCCCUCAGGGGCCUUGGAGGCAGCC
rnacentral:snoRNA from 1 species